rnacentral:lncRNA from 7 species
AAGAUUGAUAUAAACUCUUUCGAGAAUUUGAGCUCAGUUCACCACGGUCCAUGAUUUUAAGGCUUGUUUUUGUACUAGACAAUGCCUUACAGCCUCCACUGCGUACUAUAAAGACAAUCUUGAUUUAUUCCAUUUCCUUCAACAAUGUAAAAGUUUCUCUUGUAUAAAGGACACCAAAAUAUUGGCUGUUUGACAGCGAUUGGAGCAUACAGCUGACUGCAUGGAUUAUAUAAGAAGGAAAACAUCAAGAAGACCUAAACCUGAUGUGAACAGAAGUCCUUUCACUCAAAACAAAGCAUGAUACUGGAACCUCUAGUUACUGGGCAGUAACCCCUCAGGCUGAAAAUGAAGAUUUCUUCCUGGAAAUGUGACAGAAACCUAAUUCAUUCUCAGUUUGAGAUUUGUCUCCCAUGUGGGUUAACUCCAUUAAGCAACACUUGCUCAUCCCCUCCACCCCCUACUCCACCACUGGGGCAGGGGAAGGGGAAAGGAAAAGUUAAAGCAAAAUAAAAUCAUGGAUUAAGAUAGAAAUCGUUUAAUAACUGAAGGAGAAAUGGAAGAAGAGAGAAAGAAUACAAUGGAAAGCAAGUAUAGCAAAGGCAAUUGCUCACAACCUCUGAAGAUCAAACUGAUGCCCAGCCAAAUUCUGAGAAAUCUGAUUCACCUCAAACCUCUCCACUCUGUUUUACCACUGAGUAUGGCAUUCUAUGGCAUGGAAUAUGCCCCUGGAUAGAUCAUCAGCCUGGCUGUGAGCCUCUUAGCCUCUUGCACACCCCCAGAGAGUGUUCAUUGCAAGGGUAGAGGGAGAAACAAAGAAGGCCCUGAUGCUGUGUGAGACCUGCUCAGCAAUAAAUAAAAAAGUGGUGUGUUAAAUACUGUCUUUGCCAUGAACCUAAAGCACAUCACCGUGGAGAUGCUAUGAAGCUUUGCCUAUCCAGAUACAGUACAUCUCCCAUCGUGCAACUUCUCAAGGCAUUUUGUACCUCUGUGCCCAGCAGCAUCAAAGGCAUACAACAUGACAGCAUAAGUUUUUGUUCCCUUAAGACUCAAGCCAGCACUUGAUUUAACUUAAGUGGAAAUCCGUUUCAUAAUGGAAAAAUUUAUCAAAACUUUGUCAAUAUCCUCCCAGAGCAAUUGUAUUUAACUACACACAUCAGACCUUGCAGAAAAUCUAUGGAAACCACAUCUCAGCUAUUGUGGCUCUCUUCCUUUACUGACAUCAGUUACUGCUGCCUGAAUUUCUGCCUUGUACUUCUUCUACAUGCUG